UACAGAGGUCUCGAGCGUUGUUCGGAUUCAUUGGGCGUAAAGGGCGCGUAGGCGGCGGGGUAAGUCUGGUGUGAAAUCUCGGAGCUCAACUCCGAAAUUGCACUGGAUACUGCUCUGCUAGAGGGCUGGAGAGGAGAUCGGAAUUCACGGUGUAGCAGUGAAAUGCGUAGAUAUCGUGAGGAAGACCAGUGGCGAAGGCGGAUCUCUGGGCUGGUACUGACGCUGAGGAGCGAAAGCGUGGGGAGCGAACAGG
rnacentral:rRNA from 1 species